rnacentral:rRNA from 1 species
UGGGGAAUCUUCCGCAAUGGACGAAAGUCUGACGGAGCAACGCCGCGUGAGUGAAGACGGCCUUCGGGUUGUAAAGCUCUGUGAUCCGGGACGAAAGAGCCUGAGGUGAAUAGCCUAAGGAAGUGACGGUACCGGAAAAGCAAGCCACGGCUAACUACGUGCCAGCAGCCGCGGUAAUACGUAGGUGGCAAGCGUUGUCCGGAAUUAUUGGGCGUAAAGCGCGCGCAGGCGGCUUCCUAAGUCCAUCUUAAAAGUGCGGGGCUUAACCCCGUGAUGGGAUGGAAAAUGGGAAGCUGGAGUAUCGGAGAGGAAAGUGGAAUUCCUAGUGUAGCGGUGAAAUGCGUAGAGAUUAGGAAGAACACCGGUGGCGAAGGCGACUUUCUGGACGAAAACUGACGCUGAGGCGCGAAAGCGUGGGGAGCAAACAGG